rnacentral:misc_RNA from 1 species
GAGCAUAAUAUGUCAUAAUUAUGAAUUAAUCAUUUAAAUCUACAGAUUCAUUACUAGCAUUCAAGAGGAAUAAUCAAAACAAAUAAAUCAAACUAUGAUAAGAGCCAAUGAUGACAGUAGCAAUAUAGAAGCAAAUUGUUAAAUCCCUUCAAAUUGGUGUUCUAGUGAACACCUAUGCAUGAUACAUACAGUUGUAACAGUUCCUAGAAUAUUCCAAGUAUUUCUUUUGGGGGGUUCAAUGGGCUCCAG